ensembl:lncRNA
CGCCGAACAUGGGUAAGGAGCAGCGAGGAACACACCCUGAAGCUCAUUAGGGCUGGAGAAAGAAGGGAAAGGCUCUCUCCCUGUUACACGCUGCCAUUGAAUCCAACCUCCAUAAUUACAGGUCUGGCUUUAAUAUGCCAUACAUCCGAGGAAAAGCCUCUUGCAACAAAGCCCAGUAAAGCCUGUGCCACUGGCAUCAGCUGCACAAUGGCAGGGAUAACAGAGCGGCCACGCCUGGAGAUUCUUCACAGAAGAAAGGAGAAAGGGAACGUUCACAACCAGCCAUGGCUUUAUCAGAGUGGAAGAAGAAAGAGCUGAGGAUUAUAGGAAUUUCGGUCCCGUGUCUCUCCCACUCCAAAACUAGGCUGUGUUUUCUCUGACAUUGGUGAAAUAAGAAAUACUGCAGGGAAAACUCUGACCACCCAACUGCCAAACGCGUUCAAAAGUCAGCCAUUACCAUUUCUCUGCCAAAGCGUUCAAAGCAGGAGGUAUCUGAGACCUGCCAGCGUGAUAAAGGGAUUCCCAAACCCAAAUAAACCCGCCUAGAACUAACCGUGCUGCCCACAGCAAAGCAGCCACAGCCAGCUAUCCUUCCCUUGCACCAGCACUUGUGGGGAACAGUUCAGACGGCUGAUCCACGUUAGAUGCAAAUUCCACCCAAAAAUAAAAAAAAGAAGAAGAAACACCAAGAAAAGAUGAGUUCUCCUGACCCAUCACACCACAGCCAAGCAGCUCCUGGGUAGGCAGCUGCUACCACCAGAUAAGCAGUAUCUCAUUACUUGAAAAAGUGUUAGCAAAGGCAAGAGCUGCAAGGAACUACCCAGUCCCAUCUUCACCCUGUGACUUCAGCUUUGUCAGAAGGAGCUUCGGGACACCACGGAGCACCCUCUGAGCCCUAAGCACUCAGUGCUUCAUUCAAUGGGCAUUGCAAAGGAAAUGCUUGUUGAGAAAACCUUCAUGAAGCAACCUUAGUCACAUUUACAGGCACGGAAAGACUGCUAUUCAGUUCUUGUGCUCAAGGGUCUCAAGAAGGCCUGGGAAAAAGGCCUUUUUCUUUUUUUUUUUUUUCAACAGGAAAACACAAUUCCACCCUUUCC